rnacentral:rRNA from 1 species
GACGAACGCUGGCGGCGUGCUUAACACAUGCAAGUCGAACGGAAAGGCCCUGCUUUUGUGGGGUGCUCGAGUGGCGAACGGGUGAGUAACACGUGAGUAACCUGCCCUUGACUUUGGGAUAACUUCAGGAAACUGGGGCUAAUACCGGAUAGGAGCUCCUGCUGCAUGGUGGGGGUUGGAAAGUUUCGGCGGUUGGGGAUGGACUCGCGGCUUAUCAGCUGGUUGGUGGGGUAGUGGCUGACCAGGGCUUUGACGGGUAGCCGGCAUGAGAGGGUGGACGGCCACAUUGGGACUGCGAUACGGACCAGAAUCGUACGGGAGGCAGUAGUGGGGAAUAUUGCACAAUGGGCGGAAGCCUGAUGCAGCAACGCCGCGUGCGGGAUGACGGCCUUCGGGUUGUAAACCGCUUUCGACUGUGCCGAGGAGUGAGUGACGGUAAUGGGUAAAGAAGCACCGGCUAACUACGUG